GGGGAUAUAACUCAGUUGGUAGAGUGCUUGCCUCACCGCAUGAGGCCCUGGGUUCAAUCCCCAGCAGCAGCA
rnacentral:tRNA from 1 species